GAUGAAGAACGUAGCGAAAUGCGAUAAGUAAUGUGAAUUGCAGAAUUCAGUGAAUCAUCGAAUCUUUGAACGCACAUUGCGCCCCCUGGUAUUCCGGGGGGCAUGCCUGUUCGAGCGUCAUUACAACCCUCAAGCUCUGCUUGGUAUUGGGCCCCGCCAGUUCUGGCGGGCCCUAAAGUCAGUGGCGGUGCCUUCCGGCUCCGAGCGUAGUAAUUCUUCUCGCUCUGGAGACCCGGUUGUGUGCUUGCCAACAACCCUCAAUUUUUUAAGGUUGACCUCGGAUCAGGUAGGGAUACCCGCUGAACUUAAGCAUAUCAAUAAGCGGAGAA
rnacentral:misc_RNA from 1 species